GUAUAUGCUGUGACGAGACAAUUUCGUGGACUAGAGUUUCUGAUCUGGGUAAUUAUCCAGAACUUGAUUAUCAACCCUUGGCUGUCCGAGCACAC
rnacentral:snoRNA from 1 species